CGGACAGUAUUAAACGAAAAUUAUCGGUGUGCCAAUCAAGCAAAGGAACAAGGAACUUCCGAAUAUGGCCUAACUGGGGGCACAUAACAUAACCUAAUCCUAAUAUUUACAUUUGUAAAGAAUAUCCUGUUUGUUUUUAUUGUCGAUUGUGCAGCGAAAUUGUGAUAGCAAAUCAAAUAUAAAGUAGUUUAUCGCCUACAGAACUGAAUUAGUCCAUAGCAGUUAUCAGUUUUUCUUUCUUGGGAAGCUUAUACAUGUAACUUUUAUUGUUGUAAAUUGUGCGAGUAGGGCAGACAGGGAAAAGUCUUAUUUUGUACUGUUCCCAAGGCUCCCCAUGCAAUACAUUUAAAUGAAUUAUCCAAACAAAGCCGGGGACAAUGGAUAAAAGCCACAAGAAGAACAGAUAUAAGGGAACUAAAAUUAAAAUAUGAAAAGUAAACAUUUUAUAAGUGGAACAACCACCAGAUAUUUAAAAGGUAUAAAAAGAAGAAACUGCUGGAAUUUCAAAACAAAUGUGUUUGACUAGUAAAGAUUUGGAUAAAUAACAGGAGUUACUUUGGGCUAUAGCUACGUGCAGAUUUAUUUCCUUGUGGCUUCCUAUGUUAAUUCUUAAAGUAAUCGUUUAAUUGUUAAUAAAUUAUCAAGUAUGA